GGCCGUCUCCGCAGUGCUCCUUUAUAACAAAGUCUAUACCAGACCUUAUCAUACGCGCUACCGUAGUGCCAGAAAUGGAUGUGAUGUCUAACGACUUGAAAGGAUACAAAGAAAUCGUGAUUUGAAAAAUUCAAAUGUGUCGAAAACGUCCUAUCUGCUAGUGCAGUGAAUGUGUGGAGAUCUUUAUUAGUUUAGUGUAUAUAGUGGAAAAGAAAUUUUUCAAUAUGACGGAAUUUUUCGGUACCUGGAGCGGCAAGAACGACGGUGUUGAAGAGAUCGAAGAAACUGUUGAAACAUUUACGACAACCACAACGAAGACGAGGAGAAAAACGACUAUGCCAGAAACGUCGUCAACGACGAAGACGACAACAAUGACGACACCGGCCAAAUUGUAUGGACGCGAGUUGUCCACAUACGAUGAGGUUGACGUCGACGAACUUCUAGCUAAAUUGUCACAGGAAGAGCUCACUAUGCUCGCCAAGGAGGUUGACCCAGACGACAACUUUCUCCCUCCCUCGCAGCGAAAUAACUACGCGUGCGAAAAGGAUCCAACGGGUCCUCUCAAUCGGAAGAAAUUAAUUGAACAUAUAAACAAACAAGCGUUAGAGACGCCAGAUCGACCCGAAGUCAAACCAUAUGUAGCAGGCGUUAUACGUGGUAAAAAGUGGAUCCCACCACCGCCGCCGGAGAAAGUUCGAGACGCGGAAGAACAAAUUACCAUCGACCUCGGCGACGAAUACGAACAAGCGCUCGGCACCGCCUCCCAGGAGGAAAUCAUCGAUCUCGCUGCUAUUCUUGGCUUCCACUCCAUGAUGAAUCAGGACCAGUACCACGCGUCGCUGUUGAACAAAGGUCAACCCGUUGGCCUCGGUUGGGAUGGAAUCACUAAAGCUACAAAACCAAAGGUAUAUCCAAUGGAUCCUCCUAACGACGUAGAUCCGGAUAAAACCAUCGACAGAGUCAAAGAAAACGACGAGACGUUCCUUGAUCUCAAUUGGAAUAACAUUAAGAACAUAAGCGACGAGAAGUUCGAGAAGCUGUUCGAGGCGCUGAAGACGAACACUCACCUGGAGGUGGUGUCGCUGGUGAACGUGGGCCUCAACGACCGCACGGCGGCGCUGCUGGCCGACGCGCUGCAGGCCAACAGCGCGCUGCGCGUCGUCAACGUCGAGACCAACUUCAUCAGCCCCGCCGGCGUCGUGCAGCUCGUGCGCGCGCUGCUCGCCACCACCUGCGUCGAGGAGUUCCGCGCCUCCAACCAGCGGUCGCAAGUGCUGGGCAACAAGACGGAGAUGGAGAUCACGCGGCUGGUGGAGCAGAACCCCACGCUGCUGCGACUGGGCCUGCACCUGGAGUACAGCGACGCGCGCCACCGGGUCGCCUCGCACCUGCAGCGCAACAUCGACAGAAAUUGCCGUUUGCAAAAGCGAGCGAGCGUGUCACUAAGCUUGCGGCUGCCGCGCGGCCGGCCGCCCGCGGUGGGCGUGGCCAGUAGCCUCCUCAACCUCACGCCGCCCAGCGCCGACACGCUGACGCCCACGAGCGACCGGAGGGUUCUCGAUAAGCCGAUAAUCAAAACCGGAUCGAUAUCUGAUGACAAAUCGCUUGCGGGAGUCCAGAAUGGAAAUUUCGUGAUGGCGGCGCCGCCAGAUAUAAACCCAGAGCCCCACUCUACGGAAAGACCUAACGCUGCGACUUCAGUUCAGAUUCUUUAACAACCUGCAAAAAGGGGCGCGUAGCCAAUAGAAUUUAUAAAGUACGCCAACAACGCCGGAGCCAGAGCGGCGCUUAGAGUUCUAAACGACACAUGUGGUGGGCGAAUCCGGCGCUUGAGCCAGUUCACACGCAGCCGUAGUUACGUGGUGGGCUGGAUUCCUUGACCACACGCGCUCGCACUGUCACGCUCUUUGUCACUGUGUAGCACGCCCUUUAUUAAGCCUUCUAUAAAUAUACCUUGUGUUAUUCAUAAACGAAUAAAAAUGUUUCUAAUUAAAGAUGUAUUCUAUUUUUAAAUGUUGGGCUUGAAUAGUGUUCGAUGUACGCUUGAAUAGGGUCUCUCCGCAGGUCAUCGGGCCGCACUGAUUUUUUAAUGAUAAGGUUUUAUUCAAUUGUACAAGCGCCGAUUUCUUCAAACGCCAGUUAUAUUUUAUCACAAUUUUUUAUUGACUAAUCUGCUAUACAAAAUAGUCAAACUAAGUACUAAGUUUCAGUUAACUGGCGAUUCAAAAAAUUGGUUCUAAAUCGAAUGGCUUAGUUUAAAAUUAAAAUAUAUAUAAAAUAUUUACUACGAACUUCGUGUUUUGUUGUUGGCGUUAAAUAUGGACUAUGAGUUGACUUUAUUUGAUGACCCGGCGAUAAAUGAUAGAUGAUCGUCAAUCAAAAUAAAUAAUUAACUUAUUGCACUUUCAAACAAUGUCCGUAUUUGCAAAAUCGUUUUAACGGAUAGUCAAUUUGUUCACACCGUAUUUACAUGACGAAAUUUAAACGUGACUCAUGACUGACCUGCAAAACGGACCGAUGUUUGAAUGUAGCAUUAAUUGGUGCUUGCAACUAUACAAAAUUACAAAUUAAAUCAAUUCAAGUAUUUGACAUUAUAUUAUAAAAUUCUUGCCUCUAUUAAAAAAACAAUUUUUGUCUUUUAUUUUAUAUGAAAAAAAACGACUACACAAUUACAAAGAUAUGUUUUGACAGAUAAUUAAGUGUGCUUGAUGAACGAAUAUUGUGCGAUGAUAAUAUUUUUGAUUUUAUUUAAUCAUGAGAUCUUCUAAUAUUAGACGAGUCGAUGGCAGGUCCAAUCACUAGUUGGAAACUUAAAUUUUUUAUAAUUAAGAAUUAAAAUAAAUAAAAUCAUAAAUAUUGUCUAUGUCUGAAUGUUUCGUACGUUUACAAUAUUAAUUCUAAUUUUAGUGUGCUAAUGAAAUCGUAUUAAUUUUUAUCAUUAAAUUGUAAUAUAUGUUAUAGAAGUGCACAUUCCAUUAAUACAAAACAUACUUCUCUAAUAAACUUUUUUAUUAUAGAUUAAGAAAAAUAAUGGUCAAUGUUUAAUCUACAGUUGAUUAUAUUAAACGAUUAAUUAAAAAAAAAAUCUUAAAAUUAAUUGUAUACUAAAAACUGCCAUUUAUAAAAAAAGAGAAGUCAUGUUCUGUGUCAAUGGAUUUUAAGUUUAACAUUUUCAAAAAAGCACUAGGUUUUUUUAAUCUGAUAUACGCUGUGUUGUCUGUGGUCAAGUUCGCUUUCGAUUGAAGGCUUGCAACAUUUUAUCGACUAUAACCUCUUGCUUUCUUGAAAAAAAAUAUCUGCUUAUCUUUUAAAUUGUAACUUAUGUUCAUAGAAUCUACCACGGAACUUAAUUGUCCAUAACAUUGUGAUAUGAACAUCAUGUGUUUCCAUUAAAAAAAAAUAUUGCUUUGUUUUUUCAUUCUAGUUUCAACUUAAGAGAGAUUAUUUGUAAAUGAACUUUAGAUUUUUAAUGUAUUUUUUUUUUUUUGUUGUACCGAGCUAUGAAAUUUAAAAUUAUAAUAAAUGAUUAAUUUUAAUUUUUAAUUAUAGAUUUUAUUUAUGUCGACAUUUUAAUGUAUGGAGCAUUUUGGUCCAACGAAAACUUGGCUAAUAGAGUCGCAGUUGUGUAGUUUUGUGACAAAAUAUGAAUAAAGCGAUUAAACAUAA